rnacentral:lncRNA from 1 species
AAACAGAAAAAAUAUUUUUUUAGCUUGUACAAAUACAUCUAAAAACAACAAAUUCGUAUUCUAAUCUGACUCCCAUAACCCAAAAUAGAUUUAACAACAUUCAUUAUAUAAAAUAGUUCUUUCUCCAGUAUCAUCAAAUUUUACCAGUCAAAGAAUGUUUAGUGAAUGAGGCACUCUAAUUAUUUGCCGUCAUCACAAAGCUACUUAAAAUAAUUUGGGUUCAAAGCGUGAGAAAGGAAUAGUUCAACUUUCUUUUUCUUUUUUUUUUGAGAGAUAGGUAGCACGCUACCCGCUUCGUUUAUUUCAUUUAGAAAUAAACUUAGCUGGAAAUAUGGAUCAACUAGGAUUUGAACUUGGAUAUCGGGUACCAACCACCAAGCCUUUUGCCACUUGCUCUAGAGACGGUCGGUAGGAAUAGUUCAACUUAAACAUAAUUGCUAACAGUAGAUGAGUA